UGGUAUUCAUUGUGCUUCAAGUGUCUGGUUCUUUUGAAAGCCACAUGACUAGUAACUAGUUCACCUGUGUAAACAAAGCUGCCCCCUCAGCUGAGGUGUGGGAGGAAGAACUUCCUCUAGAAGAAGAGCUGUGCUUCUGACACUCAGGUGAUGAGUGGAGCAAAGGAAGCUAGGGGGCUGAUGUUUCCCCUUCUUGAUAGGCUAUAUCUAUAAUGCUGUUUUCUGGUUCUAAGAUCAAGGUAACUGUAUCUCAAAUAUGAAUCUACAUAUGGGGAUGUAAGAGAGGACAUUUGAAAUUGAUAUUUUCCUGGAAACUCUGAGAUAUGUAGUUACUGUAGAUAAAAGCUGUUUGGUUGUUUGGAGCCUUUUUUGGUUUCCUGCAACUGUGUGAUAUCUUCUUUCACUUCCUGCAUGCCUAACAUACACUCCAUGGCCAGUAAUCUUCCCCAGAGUAAAGAGCAAUAGCUUCCAUUAAUUGGUCAUCUAUUACGUAAAGAUGCUAUGCCAAGCAUUUUACAUACACUUAAUCUUUAUGAUAACAUGUAAUGUGGAUGUCUCCAGUCGACAGAUGGGGAAAUGGGAGGUUAAACGAAUUGUGCACAGCCACAUAGCUCAGAAAUGACAGAAGGAGAACCUGAACCCAGGUAGAAAUGACCCCAAAGCCACUAGCUACUGCCAAAAAAAAUUAUAACAACAUUGACAGACAUUUUAUAAAUAGAAUAAAAUCAUGCACUAUCCCUCUAUCUAAACUUAACAAGAUAGAAGCUUUUUGUUGUACCAAAUUUGGGAUAGUGCAAAGCUCCACUUUUAAAAAAUAGAUUCUACAUCAGACACUUCUUAUGCACCACUUGAGACCCUUCCAGCCACGGGAAAUGGCGGUUCAGUGAAUGUCCCUGCCAGCUUCUGGAACCUGACAGUGUCGCACCUCAGGCUCACAUGACAUCUCUGUUGACAUGGUGCUCAGAAUGCAUGGGAAUCCACUUGGUGUCAGGCUCCCCGCCUCAGUCCACCAAGAUCGCUUUUGUCAAUGAUCCCAAUAACCCAAUUUUCAAAUCCAAGGUCACUAAAAUGAGACACGGAUGCCAAGCUGUAAAGUCACCCUUUUCAUUUGUAAGUACAUAGAUAUUCAUUUCCUCAUUUGAUUUAAUUUUCAUGCCAAC